rnacentral:rRNA from 1 species
UGCCUUAAGCAUGCAAGUCGAACGGUUCGCAAGAACAGUGGCGGAAGGGUGAGUAACGCGUGGGAACGUACCAUUUGGUGGGGGAUAGCUUUCCGAAAGGAGGGAUAAUCCCGCAUAAGCCCGAAAGGGGAAAGAUUUAUCGCCGAAUGAGCGGCCCGCGUCCUAUCAGUUUGUUGGUGGGGUAAUGGCCUACCAAGACGAUGACGGGUAGCUGGGCUGAGAGGUCGGCCAGCCACAAGGGAACUGAGACACGGUCCCUACAUCUACGGAUGGCAGCAACUGGGAAUCUUGGACAAUGGGGGAAACCCUGAUCCAGCGACGCCGCGUGGGGGAUGAAGGCCUUCGGGUUGUAAACUCC